rnacentral:snoRNA from 1 species
GCGGACUACACGAUGAAACCAGUUACGGAUACUCGAGUCUCACGACUCAUACAUCCGAGAGCGCAAAAAACAAGUGGAUCAUUCCGUUGCCUUCCUUCUGACCUUUUCU